AGGGGCUGGAGCAGCCGGGGCGGAAGCCGGGAAACAAAGGAGAGAGACACGGGGCAGCCCCCGGGCGGGGCGGUACGAGCCGCUGCUCCCCGGGGUCCGUGCUAGGGGGGGGGAUUAACCCCUCCCUGCCCGGCCGGGGGGGAUUUCUCCAGCUGGGACCAGCCCCGGAGCCAGCGGCUGCAGUUCAUCCCAGCCUCCUGUGGGACAGGGCAGGGAAAUGGCUGAGGUGGAGCCCGUUCAGGGGCCAGUGACCUUC